rnacentral:sRNA from 1 species
GCGUCCCGGGUGGUGGAACACCUGACCCACCGACCAGCUCCGGCGGCUACGCUGGCGAGGUGCGCCCUCCGUCACCGGAAGGCGCAAAGCCGACAGCCGUCGCAUCCCAGGGAGCAUGCCCAUG